AGAAAAACGAGCUUGCUGUUGAAUUUCAGUCGGCGUCGCACCAGGGGCAAAAUCGUCCAACUUUUUCUGUAUAACCUGAAACACAAAACAAAGUAUAUCAGCGCGCUCAGGAGAUCGAAACAAGCAAGUUACCUGAAGACAGCGUCGCCGGACUACCGCCCACGCACCGCCGCCAUCGUCCACGCGCCGCCUCUCCGGGAGCGCCUCGACCUGCUGGUGAUGGGUAUGGCCUCCAUUUGUCCAACCGAGUUUUGGUUUGUGAGUAAUUGGAAAUUUUCAGAUUCGGGUUCUAAGGUUCAUGUCCGAAAAUCAGCCGAUUUUGAGCCAAUUUUUGCUACCCAAGCUCUGAUACCAGAUGUUAGGAUCUUCCUCAAGCUGCUCAAAGUGAUUUCCGGGCUCAGUUAACCAUUAAACAUCGAAUUCAAUCACCAAAACCGAGAUGACCGACCGCCGGCGCCACCUUCUUCCUAUGGUUGCUAUUGCUCUUUUGCUUGUUGAUUCUACCACACACUUAGGAUGGAU
rnacentral:lncRNA from 1 species